GUGAGGUAGGAGGUGAGAGCUGGUGAGCCGGGGCCGCCCAGGGUGGGCUCAGGAAGGGAAGGAAUGUGGCUGAGGCUGGGUGUGGCUGGGGAAAACUCAGCUAGUUGUGGGUUUUUCUUGGGGCCCAGAGACACAUGAGCAGAGGUGGAGGCCCCUCUCCCCAGCCCCCAGCAUAGACUAGGACCUUCCCCAG
rfam:Dipodomys ordii contig_36816, whole genome shotgun sequence.